GGUCCCGCCUGCCCAGUGACUCUUUAAACGGCCGCGGUAUCCUAACCGUGCAAAGGUAGCAUAAUCACUUGUCCCUUAAAUCGGGACUGGAAUGAACGGCUAAAUGAGGACUAAACUGUCUCUUACAGGCCAGCCAAUGAAAUUGAUUUUCCAGUACAAAAGCUGGGAUAAACCCACAAGACGAGAAGACCCUGUGGAGCUUACAAACCAAAUUCACCAAGUAUGUCUACCGGUUUUCAGUUGGGGCGACUUCGGAGUACAAAAUAACCUCCAAACAUAAAACUAAUUAAGAACAACAUAUCAAAAUAUACUCAUAAUGACCCAGCAACCUUACGGUUGUCUGAUUAAUGAACCAAGUUACCCCAGGGAUAACAGCGCCAUCCCCUUCUAGAGUCCCUAUCGACAAGGGGGUUUACGACCUCGAUGUUGGAUCAGGACACCCCAAUGGUGCAGCCGCCAUUAACG
rnacentral:rRNA from 1 species